rnacentral:lncRNA from 1 species
CCGACUUGAGUGGUUAUAGUACAUGAUUUUGUUUCGAGAAAUCCUAAAUCGGGCAAAUGAAGAUGUCCAAAUCCAUCUUCCUUACACACACUACUCUCUGUCUAUAUAAACCUUCAACUCCCCCAAAACGCCAAACCCGUGUAGUUAUCUCCCAAGAAAAACCCCUCCCUCCCUCCCUCCACUGCUUAUUCAUCUCCUAAGUCGUAACGUCGAUCAUCCGUUCAUUAGAGUCAAGCUAAUUAAGUGUGGGAACUAACUCAUGAUGAGGUGGAGCCAAAGUGAUCUAGAUGUUAUUCUUGUUCCAUUGGCUUUCAUGCUGGUUGCUGCCUACCAUGCUUGGCUCUGGCACAAGGUUCGUACUCAA